rnacentral:rRNA from 1 species
AACGAACGCUGGCGGCAUGCCUAACACAUGCAAGUCGAACGAGACCUUCGGGUCUAGUGGCGCACGGGUGCGUAACGCGUGGGAACCUGCCCUUAGGUUCGGAAUAACUCCCCGAAAGGGGUGCUAAUACCGGAUAAUGUCUUCGGACCAAAGAUUUAUCGCCUUUGGAUGGGCCCGCGUUGGAUUAGCUAGUUGGUAGGGUAAAAGCCUACCAAGGCGACGAUCCAUAGCUGGUCUGAGAGGAUGAUCAGCCACACCGGGACUGAGACACGGCCCAGACUCCUACGGGAGGCAACAAUGGGGAAUAAUGGAAAAUGGGCGGAAGGCUGGACCAGCCAUGACGCGUUAGUGAUGAAGGCCUUAAGGUUGUAAAGCUCUUUUUACCGGGAUGAUUAUGACAGUACCCGGAGAAUAAACCCCGGCUAACUCCGUG